CCCUUAGAUGUUCUGGGCCGCACGCGCGCUACACUGACGGAGUCAACGAGUUGUCCUGCAUUGGAAGGUGUGGGUAAUCUUUUGAAACUUCGUCGUGCUGGGGAUAGAUCUUUGCAAUUUUCGAUCUUGAACGAGGAAUUCCUAGUAAGCGUGAUUCAUCAGAUCGCGUUGAUUACGUCCCUGCCCUUUGUACACACCGCCCGUCGCUACUACCGAUUGAAUGGUUUAGUGAGGCCUCGGGACUGGCGCGCUCGAGUAGCAAUACACCUGCGCGCCGGGAACUUGGUCAAACUUGAUCAUUUAGAGGAAGUAAAAGUCGUAACA
rnacentral:rRNA from 1 species